rnacentral:rRNA from 5 species
GGUUAAGCGACUAAGCGUACACGGUGGAUGCCCUGGCAGUCAGAGGCGAUGAAGGGCGUACUAAUCUGCGAUAAGCGCCGGUAAGGUGAUAUGAACCGUUAUAACCGGCGAUACCCGAAUGGGGAAACCCAGUGUGAUUCGUCACACUAUCAUUAACUGAAUCCAUAGGUUAAUGAGGCGAACCGGGGGAACUGAAACAUCUAAGUACCCCGAGGAAAAGAAAUCAACCGAGAUUCCCCCAGUAGCGGCGAGCGAACGGGGAGGAGCCCAGAGCCUGAAUCAGCAUGUGUGUUAGUGGAAGCGUCUGGAAAGGCGCGCGAUACAGGGUGACAGCCCCGUACACAAAAGCGCAUGUGCUGUGAGCUCGAUGAGUAGGGCGGGACACGUGGUAUCCUGUCUGAAUAUGGGGGGACCAUCCUCCAAGGCUAAAUACUCCUGACUGACCGAUAGUGAACCAGUACCGUGAGGGAAAGGCGAAAAGAACCCCGGCGAGGGGAGUGAAAAAGAACCUGAAACCGUGUACGUACAAGCAGUGGGAGCACAGGUUUACCUGUGUGACUGCGUACCUUUUGUAUAAUGGGUCAGCGACUUAUAUUCUGUAGCAAGGUUAACCGAAUAGGGGAGCCGGAGGGAAACCGAGUCUUAAUUGGGCGUUAAGUUGCAGGGUAUAGACCCGAAACCCGGUGAUCUAGCCAUGGGCAGGUUGAAGGUUGGGUAACACUAACUGGAGGACCGAACCGACUAAUGUUGAAAAAUUAGCGGAUGACCUGUGGCUGGGGGUGAAAGGCCAAUCAAACCGGGAGAUAGCUGGUUCUCCCCGAAAGCUAUUUAGGUAGCGCCUCGUGAAUUCAUCUCCGGGGGUAGAGCACUGUUUCGGCUAGGGGGCCAUCCCGGCUUACCAACCCGAUGCAAACUGCGAAUACCGGAGAAUGUUAUCACGGGAGACACACGGCGGGUGCUAACGUCCGUCGUGAAGAGGGAAACAACCCAGACCGCCAGCUAAGGUCCCAAAGUCAUGGUUAAGUGGGAAACGAUGUGGGAAGGCCCAGACAGCCAGGAUGUUGGCUUAGAAGCAGCCAUCAUUUAAAGAAAGCGUAAUAGCUCACUGGUCGAGUCGGCCUGCGCGGAAGAUGUAACGGGGCUAAACCAUGCACCGAAGCUGCGGCAGCGACGCUUAUGCGUUGUUGGGUAGGGGAGCGUUCUGUAAGCCUGCGAAGGUGGCCUGUGAGGGUUGCUGGAGGUAUCAGAAGUGCGAAUGCUGACAUAAGUAACGAUAAAGCGGGUGAAAAGCCCGCUCGCCGGAAGACCAAGGGUUCCUGUCCAACGUUAAUCGGGGCAGGGUGAGUCGACCCCUAAGGCGAGGCCGAAAGGCGUAGUCGAUGGGAAACGGGUUAAUAUUCCCGUACUUGGUGUUACUGCGAAGGGGGGACGGAGAAGGCUAUGUUGGCCGGGCGACGGUUGUCCCGGUUUAAGCGUGUAGGUGUGUGUUCCAGGUAAAUCCGGUUCACUUUAACACUGAGGCGUGACGACGAGGCACUACGGUGCUGAAGCAACAAAUGCCCUGCUUCCAGGAAAAGCCUCUAAGCAUCAGGUAACAUCAAAUCGUACCCCAAACCGACACAGGUGGUCAGGUAGAGAAUACCAAGGCGCUUGAGAGAACUCGGGUGAAGGAACUAGGCAAAAUGGUGCCGUAACUUCGGGAGAAGGCACGCUGACACGUAGGUGAAGUGAUUUACUCAUGGAGCUGAAGUCAGUCGAAGAUACCAGCUGGCUGCAACUGUUUAUUAAAAACACAGCACUGUGCAAACACGAAAGUGGACGUAUACGGUGUGACGCCUGCCCGGUGCCGGAAGGUUAAUUGAUGGGGUCAGCGCAAGCGAAGCUCCUGAUCGAAGCCCCGGUAAACGGCGGCCGUAACUAUAACGGUCCUAAGGUAGCGAAAUUCCUUGUCGGGUAAGUUCCGACCUGCACGAAUGGCGUAAUGAUGGCCAGGCUGUCUCCACCCGAGACUCAGUGAAAUUGAACUCGCUGUGAAGAUGCAGUGUACCCGCGGCAAGACGGAAAGACCCCGUGAACCUUUACUAUAGCUUGACACUGAACAUUGAGCCUUGAUGUGUAGGAUAGGUGGGAGGCUUUGAAGUGUGGACGCCAGUCUGCAUGGAGCCGACCUUGAAAUACCACCCUUUAAUGUUUGAUGUUCUAACGUGGACCCGUUACCCGGGUUGCGGACAGUGUCUGGUGGGUAGUUUGACUGGGGCGGUCUCCUCCUAAAGAGUAACGGAGGAGCACGAAGGUUGGCUAAUCCUGGUCGGACAUCAGGAGGUUAGUGCAAUGGCAUAAGCCAGCUUGACUGCGAGCGUGACGGCGCGAGCAGGUGCGAAAGCAGGUCAUAGUGAUCCGGUGGUUCUGAAUGGAAGGGCCAUCGCUCAACGGAUAAAAGGUACUCCGGGGAUAACAGGCUGAUACCGCCCAAGAGUUCAUAUCGACGGCGGUGUUUGGCACCUCGAUGUCGGCUCAUCACAUCCUGGGGCUGAAGUAGGUCCCAAGGGUAUGGCUGUUCGCCAUUUAAAGUGGUACGCGAGCUGGGUUUAGAACGUCGUGAGACAGUUCGGUCCCUAUCUGCCGUGGGCGCUGGAGAACUGAGGGGGGCUGCUCCUAGUACGAGAGGACCGGAGUGGACGCAUCACUGGUGUUCGGGUUGUCAUGCCAAUGGCACUGCCCGGUAGCUAAAUGCGGAAGAGAUAAGUGCUGAAAGCAUCUAAGCACGAAACUUGCCCCGAGAUGAGUUCUCCCUGAGACUUAAAGUCUCCUGAAGGAACGUUGAAGACGACGACGUUGAUAGGCCGGGUGUGUAAGCGCAGCGAUGCGUUGAGCUAACCGGUACUAAUGAACCGUGAGGCUUAACCUU